rnacentral:rRNA from 1 species
UGGGGAAUCUUGCGCAAUGGGCGGAAGCCUGACGCAGCGACGCCGCGUGCGGGAGGAAGGCCCUCGGGUCGUAAACCGCUUUCAGCAGGGACGAGGCCGCAAGGUGACGGUACCUGCAGAAGAAGCCCCGGCUAACUACGUGCCAGCAGCCGCGGUAAUACGUAGGGGGCGAGCGUUAUCCGGAUUCAUUGGGCGUAAAGCGCUCGUAGGCGGCCUGCUAGGUCGGGAGUCAAAUUCGGGGGCCCAACCCCCGGCCGCUCCCGAUACCGGCGGGCUUGAGUUUGGUAGGGGAAGGCGGAAUUCCCGGUGUAGCGGUGGAAUGCGCAGAUAUCGGGAAGAACACCGGUGGCGAAGGCGGCCUUCUGGGCCACAACUGACGCUGAGGAGCGAAAGCUGGGGGAGCGAACAGGAUUAGAUACCCUGGUAGUCCCAGCCGUAAACGAUGGACACUAGGUGUGGGGGGGACGCCCCUCCGUGCCGCAGCCAACGCAUUAAGCAUUCCGCCUGGGGAGUACGGCCGCAAGGUUG